rnacentral:rRNA from 1 species
UACGGGGGGAGCAAGCGUUGUUCGGAUUUACUGGGCGUAAAGGGCGCGUAGGCGGCCAGCACAAGUCAGUUGUGAAAUCUCCGGGCUUAACUCGGAAAGGUCAACUGAUACUGUGCGGCUAGAGUGCAGAAGGGGCAACUGGAAUUCUCGGUGUAGCGGUGAAAUGCGUAGAUAUCAGGAGGAACACCAGUAGCGAAGGCGGCACUCUGGGCCGGUACUGACGCUGAGGAGCGAAAGCGUGGGGAGCAAACAGG